rnacentral:rRNA from 1 species
CAAUAGCGUAUAUUUAAGUUGUUGCAGUUAAAAAGCUCGUAGUCGGAUUUUGGCUGAGAACGAUCGGUCCGCCGUUAGGUGUGCACUGAUUGGUCUCAGCUUCCUGGUGAGGAGGUGUGCUUCACGGCCACUUAGUCACCGUGGUUACUUUGAAAAAAUUAGAGUGUUCAAAGCGGGCUUACGCUUGAAUAUAUUAGCAUGGAAUAACACCAUAGGACUCCUGUCCUAUUUCGUUGGUCUCGGGACGGGAGUAAUGAUUAAGAGGAACAGUUGGGGGCAUUCGUAUUUCAUUGUCAGAGGUGAAAUUCUUGGAUUUAUGAAAGACGAACUUCUGCGAAAGCACUUGCCAAGGAUGUUUUCAUUGA